rnacentral:rRNA from 1 species
AGGGGCAGCAUGAACUUAGCUUGCUAAGUUUGAUGGCGACCGGCGCACGGGUGAGUAACACGUAUCCAACCUGCCGAUGACUCGGGGAUAGCCUUUCGAAAGAAAGAUUAAUACCCGAUGGCAUAAUUCUUCCGCAUGGUAGAAUUAUUAAAGAAUUUCGGUCAUCGAUGGGGAUGCGUUCCAUUAGGUUGUUGGCGGGGUAACGGCCCACCAAGCCUUCGAUGGAUAGGGGUUCUGAGAGGAAGGUCCCCCACAUUGGAACUGAGACACGGUCCAAACUCCUACGGGAGGCAGCAGUGAGGAAUAUNUGGUCAAUGGACGNNAGAGUUCUGAACCNNAGCCAAGUANNGCGUGAANNGGAUGACUNNGCCCUAUUUGGGUUNGUAAACUUUCUUUUANUACGGGAAUAAAGUGAGGCACGUGUGCCUUUUUGUAUGUACCGUAUGAAUAAGGAUCGGCUAACUCCGUGCCAGCAGCCGCGGUAAUACGGAGGAUCCGAGCGUUAUCCGGAUUUAUUGGGUUUAAAGGGAGCGUAGGCGGACGCUUAAGUCAGUUGUGAAAGUUUGCGGCUCAACCGUAAAAUUGCAGUUGAUACUGGGUGUCUUGAGUACAGUAGAGCAGCGGAAUUCGUGGUGUAGCGGUGGAAUGCUUAGAUAUCACGAAGAACU